GUGACUGCGUACCUUUUGUAUAAUGGGUCAGCGACUUAUAUUCUGUAGCAAGGUUAACCGAAUAGGGGAGCCGGAGGGAAACCGAGUCUUAAUUGGGCGUUAAGUUGCAGGGUAUAGACCCGAAACCCGGUGAUCUAGCCAUGGGCAGGUUGAAGGUUGGGUAACACUAACUGGAGGACCGAACCGACUAAUGUUGAAAAAUUAGCGGAUGACCUGUGGCUGGGGGUGAAAGGCCAAUCAAACCGGGAGAUAGCUGGUUCUCCCCGAAAGCUAUUUAGGUAGCGCCUCGUGAAUUCAUCUCCGGGGGUAGAGCACUGUUUCGGCUAGGGGGCCAUCCCGGCUUACCAACCCGAUGCAAACUGCGAAUACCGGAGAAUGUUAUCACGGGAGACACACGGCGGGUGCUAACGUCCGUCGUGAAGAGGGAAACAACCCAGACCGCCAGCUAAGGUCCCAAAGUCAUGGUUAAGUGGGAAACGAUGUGGGAAGGCCCAGACAGCCAGGAUGUUGGCUUAGAAGCAGCCAUCAUUUAAAGAAAGCGUAAUAGCUCACUGGUCGAGUCGGCCUGCGCGGAAGAUGUAACGGGGCUAAACCAUGCACCGAAGCUGCGGCAGCGACACUCAGGUGUUGUUGGGUAGGGGAGCGUUCUGUAAGCCUGCGAAGGUGGCCUGUGAGGGUUGCUGGAGGUAUCAGAAGUGCGAAUGCUGACAUAAGUAACGAUAAAGCGGGUGAAAAGCCCGCUCGCCGGAAGACCAAGGGUUCCUGUCCAACGUUAAUCGGGGCAGGGUGAGUCGACCCCUAAGGCGAGGCCGAAAGGCGUAGUCGAUGGGAAACGGGUUAAUAUUCCCGUACUUGGUGUUACUGCGAAGGGGGGACGGAGAAGGCUAUGUUGGCCGGGCGACGGUUGUCCCGGUUUAAGCGUGUAGGUGUGUGUUCCAGGUAAAUCCGGUUCACUUUAACACUGAGGCGUGACGACGAGGCACUACGGUGCUGAAGCAACAAAUGCCCUGCUUCCAGGAAAAGCCUCUAAGCAUCAGGUAACAUCAAAUCGUACCCCAAACCGACACAGGUGGUCAGGUAGAGAAUACCAAGGCGCUUGAGAGAACUCGGGUGAAGGAACUAGGCAAAAUGGUGCCGUAACUUCGGGAGAAGGCACGCUGACACGUAGGUGAAGUGAUUUACUCAUGGAGCUGAAGUCAGUCGAAGAUACCAGCUGGCUGCAACUGUUUAUUAAAAACACAGCACUGUGCAAACACGAAAGUGGACGUAUACGGUGUGACGCCUGCCCGGUGCCGGAAGGUUAAUUGAUGGGGUCAGCGCAAGCGAAGCUCCUGAUCGAAGCCCCGGUAAACGGCGGCCGUAACUAUAACGGUCCUAAGGUAGCGAAAUUCCUUGUCGGGUAAGUUCCGACCUGCACGAAUGGCGUAAUGAUGGCCAGGCUGUCUCCACCCGAGACUCAGUGAAAUUGAACUCGCUGUGAAGAUGCAGUGUACCCGCGGCAAGACGGAAAGACCCCGUGAACCUUUACUAUAGCUUGACACUGAACAUUGAGCCUUGAUGUGUAGGAUAGGUGGGAGGCUUUGAAGUGUGGACGCCAGUCUGCAUGGAGCCGACCUUGAAAUACCACCCUUUAAUGUUUGAUGUUCUAACGUGGACCCGUAAUCCGGGUUGCGGACAGUGUCUGGUGGGUAGUUUGACUGGGGCGGUCUCCUCCUAAAGAGUAACGGAGGAGCACGAAGGUUGGCUAAUCCUGGUCGGACAUCAGGAGGUUAGUGCAAUGGCAUAAGCCAGCUUGACUGCGAGCGUGACGGCGCGAGCAGGUGCGAAAGCAGGUCAUAGUGAUCCGGUGGUUCUGAAUGGAAGGGCCAUCGCUCAACGGAUAAAAGGUACUCCGGGGAUAACAGGCUGAUACCGCCCAAGAGUUCAUAUCGACGGCGGUGUUUGGCACCUCGAUGUCGGCUCAUCACAUCCUGGGGCUGAAGUAGGUCCCAAGGGUAUGGCUGUUCGCCAUUUAAAGUGGUACGCGAGCUGGGUUUAGAACGUCGUGAGACAGUUCGGUCCCUAUCUGCCGUGGGCGCUGGAGAACUGAGGGGGGCUGCUCCUAGUACGAGAGGACCGGAGUGGACGCAUCACUGGUGUUCGGGUUGUCAUGCCAAUGGCACUGCCCGGUAGCUAAAUGCGGAAGAGAUAAGUGCUGAAAGCAUCUAAGCACGAAACUUGCCCCGAGAUGAGUUCUCCCUGAGACUUAGAGUCUCCUGAAGGAACGUUGAAGACGACGACGUUGAUAGGCCGGGU
rnacentral:rRNA from 1 species